UACGAAUGGGGCGAGCGUUGUUCGGAAUCACUGGGCGUAAAGCGUACGUAGGCGGACUAGCAAGUCAGGAGUGAAAUCCCGGGGCUUAACCCCGGAAUUGCUUUUGAAACUGCUAGUCUAGAGGCUCGGAGAGGUCAGCGGAAUUCCCAGUGUAGAGGUGAAAUUCGCAGAUAUUGGGAGGAACACCAGUUGCGUAGGCGGCUGGCUGGACGAGUACUGACGCUGAGGUACGAAAGCGUGGGGAUCAAAC
rnacentral:rRNA from 1 species